CCCUGCUAGAAACAAAAAAAAUCACGUAUCGCCUUUACACUUGACGUUCUUCUAUUAGGAGAAUAGAUUUUCCAGGGAACAUAGUUUGCAAUCCUUUUCUUAUUUUAUCAAAAUUCCUACGGAUCAUUUUCAAAUUUGUCAAGGACUAGGAAAUAUUAACCACCGCCUUAUGUUUAUAAAUAGGACUUUCUGCCAUGCAAUUGAGUCAUUCUCCUUAUCAUUCCUCCAACCGGUUAUUUUUAGCUCUCACAAAAUCUCAAUUCCUGUUUAGGUAUUUUUAUUUUAUUUUAUUGACUCGUAUCUAUUCUCUUUGUAGGGAAAAAAAUGAAUUAAAUCCAUGAAGAGUCAAUUUGAGAUGUGAGAGUUUCAAUUUGCCUUUGACACCUUGAAACUGAUCAAUUCGGCUUCAAGUUUGGUGACUAUGUAAGAGUCAGCUUAAGAUUGACGUAUUGGACAACUUCAUUUGAAAAAUUCAUACUUACAGGAUUCGAAGACUUCAACUAGCGAACUUGGCGUUUUGGAAAACUUCACCUUAUAUAUUUGGUUUGAGGAACUUAAACGUUUCAAAUUAUGUAGAAAAAAUCUAUCUGUUAUGGAGGUCUACACUAUUGAGCCAUGAAUACUUUGUGUAAGUCUAAAGUUCUGUGAGAGUAAUUAUAGACCUUACUUUCAUAUGACAGAUCAAGUGAGAACAUUUUACACUCGCGCGAUUGAACUUAGAAUGUAACUCUAAGUGCCUACAUACCUCGAUAAAGAUGGUAAAGUCAUAACAUAAUUCUACAGAUUUAG